rfam:Streptomyces sp. NRRL F-6491 P443contig51.1, whole genome shotgun sequence.
UCGAGCGGAACGCCUAAUCCUGCCACCGCUCGGAAACCUCCCUUUUCACCCGACGGCAGGAGCGGGGGACCCACGAAUACGCCGGCCCGGAUUCCGGGACGGCUCGGGGUGCAGCCGCGUGCGCGCGGCCGGACAUCUCCCGUCCGAACCCGACAGCUCACCUCGUAGGCGCCGGAGAGGAAUC